rnacentral:lncRNA from 1 species
GGGACGUCGAUUCCCUCCGAAGAUUGUCAAAACAUUAUAAAGAUGGAAGCCCUAUUGCAGACGAUCUGCUUGAAAAACUUGUUGCUUCUAGGCUGGUCAACACAGGUCUUCUGACCCUGCGCCAGAUUGUUUUGAGCAAAGUUGAUCAGUCUCUUCAUACCAACACAUCGCUGGAUGCUGCAAGUGAAUAUGCCAAAUACUGCUCAGAAAUAUUAGGAGUUGCAGCUACUCCAGGCACAAAUAUGCCAGCUACCUUUGGACAUUUGGCAGGGGGAUACGAUGGCCAAUAUUAUGGAUAUCUUUGGAGUGAAGUAUUUUCCAUGGAUAUGUUUUACAGCUGUUUUAAAAAAGAAGGGAUAAUGAAUCCAGAGGUUGGAAUGAAAUACAGAAACCUAAUCCUGAAACCUGGGGGAUCUCUGGACGGCAUGGACAUGCUCCACAAUUUCUUGAAACGUGAGCCAAACCAAAAAGCGUUCCUAAUGAGUAGAGGCCUGCAUGCUCCGUGAACUGGGGAUCUUUGGUAGCCGUCCAUGUCUGGAGGACAAGUCGACAUCACCAUGUGUUACUGGCCUGGAAACUGAAGGGAGUUUUGCAAGUGAAAAUUUAGAUUUCUAUUGACAUCCUUUUGUUUUCUAAUUUUAAAAAUUAUAAAGAUGUAAAUGGAAUUAUAAAUACUGUGACCUAAGAAAAGACCCACUAGAAAGUAAUUGUACUAUAAAAUUUCAUAAAACUGGAUUUGAUUUCUUUUUAUGAAAGUUUCAUAUGAAUGUAACUUGAUUUUUUACUAUUAUAAUCUAGAUAAUAUGAUAUAAGAGGGCUAAGAAUUUUUAAAUUGAAUCAUAUAUAUGAUAUAAUUUGAUCCUUCUUGUAUCUUGAAGUUUUGUACUUGGGAUUUCUGGACUGAUAAAUGAAUCAUCACAUUCUUCUGGUAAAUAUUUUCUUG